GGAAUUGCUAGUAAUGGCAGGUCAGCAUACUGCCGUGAAUACGUUCCCGGGCCUUGUACACACCGCCCGUCACACCAUGAGAGUCGGGAACACCCGAAGUCCGUAGCCUAACCGCAAGGAGGACGCCGCCGAAGGUGGGGUUGAUGAUUAGGGUUAAGUCGUAACAAGGUAGC
rnacentral:rRNA from 1 species